rnacentral:misc_RNA from 1 species
AUUCUAAGGAGCACCACGAAAAACACUCUAAAUAGUUUAGGGUGUAAGCCGUCAGGGGUUCUCAUCUGUAGUGGAUGAGAGCCGGGUGCGCAACAGCAAAUAUCCAGACACACUGUUGGGUCCUGAGGCAACACUCGGCUUGAUUGGGUGUUGUCCCUCAUCUUUGGUGGUGGGGUGUGGUGUUUGAGUAUUGGAUAGUGG